rnacentral:misc_RNA from 1 species
CUUAACUGUUCCUUUUGAUCAUUUCUAGGUGUACCCUUUCCACCAAGUCAUCGAUUACAAACACUAGAGGUGUUUGACCCACGAGGCAAACCUAAACCUGAUGUUUUAAAGCAGCAUUUCGUGUUAGAAGGUAGAGUCACAGAGGAUGUAGCAUUAAGGAUUAUUAAUGAAGGAGCAGCAUUGCUGCGGCAAGAAAAGACUAUGAUUGACAUUGAAGCACCUGUUACAGUCUGCGGUGAUAUUCAUGGACAGUUUUAUGACUUAAUGAAGUUAUUUGAAGUUGGAGGACCACCAGCUACAACGCGUUACCUCUUUUUAGGAGACUAUGUUGACAGAGGAUAUUUUAGCAUAGAGUGUGUUUUAUAUUUAUGGGCCCUGAAGAUCUUAUAUCCAAAUACUUUUUUCUUACUCCGUGGAAACCAUGAGUGUAGACAUCUGACAGAAUAUUUCACAUUUAAACAAGAAUGUAAAAUCAAAUACACCGAACGAGUAUAUGACGCCUGUAUGGAUGCAUUUGACUGCCUGCCUCUAGCAGCCUUAAUGAACCAACAAUUUUUGUGUGUCCAUGGAGGUCUCUCACCAGAAGUACAUACUUUAGAAGAUAUAAGAAAAUUGGACAGAUUCAAAGAACCACCAGCAUUUGGUCCAAUGUGUGAUUUAUUAUGGUCCGAUCCUCUGGAAGAUUUUGGCAAUGAAAAAACUACAGAACACUUUACACACAAUAGUGUUAGGGGUUGCUCAUAUUUCUACAGCUAUGCAGCAUGUUGUGAUUUCUUGCAACAGAAUAAUCUAUUAUCUAUAAUCAGGGCACAUGAAGCUCAGGAUGCUGGGUAUCGUAUGUAUAGGAAAAGUCACCAAACUGGUUUUCCGUCAUUAAUAACUAUAUUUUCAGCACCUAAUUAUUUGGAUGUAUACAACAAUAAAGCGGCAAUUCUCAAGUAUGAAAAUAACGUAAUGAAUAUUAGGCAGUUCAACUGCUCUCCACACCCAUAUUGGUUGCCAAACUUUAUGGAUGUUUUCACAUGGUCUUUACCAUUCGUGGGAGAAAAAGUUACAGAGAUGUUAGUAAACGUCCUUAAUAUCUGUUCAGAUGAUGAGUUGAUGACUGAAGGAGAUGAUACAUUUGAAGCUGAACUUGGUAAACAAAGAAGACAGAACAACUUCAACAACAACAUCAACAACAACAACAACAACAUCAACAACGUCAAAUCUCAGGGAUUAGUGAAGACCAUAUCACAGGGUUCAACACUGUUGCUGCCAGGAAAGAGGUCAUCAGAAACAAGAUUCGAGCCAUCGGUAAAAUGGCUAGAGUAUUUACUGUAUUGAGGGAAGAGAGCGAAAGUGUACUGCAGUUGAAGGGACUUACUCCAAAUGGUUUGCUACCUCUCGGAGCGCUAUCUGGUGGCAAAGAUACUCUGAGAAGUGCACUCAGUGGUUUUUCUCCUACCCACAAAAUAAGUGGGUUCGAUGAAGCCAAGAGUUUGGAUAAAUUGAAUGAACGCAUGCCCCCGAGAAGAGAUGCAGUCAAUACCAAUAACAAGGAGAAAGCGUAAUGAGGGACAAAAACCCUCUUCUCUCCACCAAGGCUGUUAUUCUUCCGGGCUGGAGUCAACCAUCACAUGCAGGGGAACGAAUGCUGAGCUCUGUGUGCAGGGUCCAGCUGUGAACAGCUCUGUUGAUCUCACCUUGUACGAUUUGCUACCUGGGAUGUAUGAUUAUAUCAGAAUUCAAUGUAUACAUAUUUUAUACCUAUUUAAUGGUUCUUUACCCCUCCCCUGCUGGCAACCUGCAAAUACAAUUGGUAAAUGCUGUUUUGUGAUGUGAUGUUUCUUUCCUUUUCUUCAAUAAAAAAAAAAUGCUUCCUUUCUAGUAAAAAAAAAAUUUAAAAAGUUAAUAAAUUAUAAAACUAUCUGAAAAAUAAAAUGUAAAAAUUUAACAUGAAAAUUCAUUAUUAAGUAUGGUAAUUUACUGAGGUGAAGUGAGUUCAAACUUUUCGAAUGCCACUAGGAAAGUUUAAAGUUUUCUUCAACUCUUUUAUACCACUUGUGUGGCAGUAUUAUUUAUGAGGGAAGUUCAUGAGCAGAUGUUGCCAGGGAUAUUCCCAAUAACAACAUCUGGACUUAAAUACUGCCUUGUCAUUGUAUGCAAGCCUCUCAUUGGGGUAGAAUUGAUUCUUUCAUCUUUUUACAAAAUUUCCGAAACAAACACAUUCUUUUAGUUUUAGCCCAAUCUUUAUUUUGAACUGUGGGCUAAAAAAAAAAUUAUGAUGGUGAUGUGAUGAUGAUGAUGAUAAAGAUGAUGAUGAUGAUGAUGAUCAGAACUUCUUACAUAGGCAUGAAGCCUUACUGUUAAUUGAAGUAACAUUAUGGAAAUGUUGCUCAAUACUAAAUUUGUUAUAUUAAAUUUAAAGAAUACUU